rnacentral:rRNA from 1 species
AUGGCAAAGCCAAGCGCCGCCUCCCCCGCCCGGGAGAUCACGCGCCCGUCGAGCUCGCUGUCAAAGGCCGUCCGUCGCCGCGCCGACGCCGUGUCCCACAAGCUCGCGGCGCGUGGCCUGGGGGCCUUCGUCUGGCACAAGAAGCUCGACCGCGAUCUCUCCCGCGGCCUCCUCCCAGACAUCGUCUCGAUCCGCUCCGAGCGUCGCCGCUGCCUGGCCCGCCGCAAGGAGGCCGCCGCCGUCAGUUCGUCGGCCGCGACCCGGCGGAGCUCGCCGCCUCCGAUCACGACCGCGUCGCUGGCCAGGGCGGAGGAGGAGGAGAAGGAGGCCGCCUUCCUCGUCGAGCAGAGCAGGAUCCGGGCCGAGACGCGGUUCGGCUACGGGCGCCCCAAGCUCAUCGACGUGCUCGUGAAGUCCCUCGACGGGACGCGGCCCCGCGCGGUCGCGGCGUUCCGCGGCGCGUCCUUGGAGGACCUCAGGGAACUCGGCAGGGAGAUCGAUCAGCACGCCGAGAUCGACCGGGCGAACGGGCCCUUCUGGGAGGCCGCCAAGAUCAUGUGCGACGCCGAGAUUGCCAGGGCCGCCGGGACGGCCGGGCACGGCGAGAGGCUGUUGCACGCCGCGAUUUUGGCCGACGUGAGGAGCGUCGUCGAAGGCAAGAGCGUCGAAGAGCUCGAAGCGAUGGAGAAGGCCGUCGCCGCCCGGAUGGCCGCCGGCGAGGCCAUGGUCGUCGAGCACUGGCAGGGUGUGACGGAGCUUAUCCGGGUGGAGAAGGCCAAGAAGUACCUGGAGCAGAACUACUCAACAUGCGACGACGAGGCAGCGACCUCUUCCGACAACAAGGACGAACCCGAGAGCGCAGACGACGGAGAUGACACGGCCGACGCCGACGGGGAGGAAGGAUCGGAGGCGCUCUGCCCGGUCGCAUUGCCACAGACGGCGGCAGGGCCAGAGCAGAGGAAGCCCAAGUACAUCACGCGGGUGCGGUCAGGGUUCGAGUGGAACAAGUACAACCGCGUGCACUACGACCAUGACCAGCCACCGCCCAAGAUAGUCAAGGGCUACAAGUUCGUGUUGCACUACCCCGACCUCGCCGGCACGAAGCCACCGGAGUACACCAUCCACGAGGACGGGGAGAGCGGCGAGACCUGCAUCAUCAGGUUCCACGCCGGGCCGCCGUACGAGGACGUGGCGUUCAGGAUCGUGAACAAGGAGUGGGAGUACUCGCGCAAGGCGGGAUUCAGGUGCACCUUCGAGAGGGGCGUCCUGCACCUGAAUUUUAAUUUCAAGCGCUUCUUUUACAAGCGAUGA